ACUUAGUCUCUUUAUGUGUGUUAUACUGGAAUGUUUAUUCCUAUCAUUGCAGUUUGUUUAUUGUUACGGAGGAGGCAGGAGUAAUUCUUACCUUUCCUCCGUAUUCUCAUAAAUGAAGAGGAUUUGAUCCUCCCCGCCCCACCCCUGCCACACACACAUGCUGGACUGAAAGUUGGUAUAUCUGAGAACUUAAUCCAGAUCCGUAUGAAGUCACAGCUCAUGUUCCUCCCACUUUCUCUGGUGGUCCAGAGGAAAAGGGCCGUUAGGAAUGGAAAGGGAAAGAAGAUGGAUCUGAAUGCAAGGAGCGAGCCUAGCAGGCCAGACAAGGCGGAAGCACAGGUGGCAUCGGCUCUAGGACAGUCUGCUCCAGUCAUAGAGGGAUUUUCCUCUCAAAAUGGUAAGAUUUGCAUAAAAAACGCAAGGUUGACGAAGUCCAGCCUCUUCCUCACCCCUACCUGCCUCCCCAGACCCAUCCCUUAAAGGCUUAGAGUUCUGGAAAUGUCCCUGAAAUGUGAACAAAGAAAGCUGAGAGGCAACAAAACCUGGGACUUGUUAGAAAUGCAAAUUCUCUGGCCCUGCCCCAGACGUACUGACUCAGAAAUGGGUCAGGGCUCAGCAUUCUGUUGUCUAUAAGCCCUUCUGGUGAUCUAGACACACUCAGGUUUGAAAACCACUGCCCUAGGUAACAUCCCUAACCCUGGCUGAUGUCUGAGCCAAACGUUCUGUCCCAGAGCCCUGCAAACCUCUCAAAGUGCUAACAUCUCAACUUCCAAACUGCUUGUCCCAGAUGGCUUCUCGCACCCAAAACUGGCACCUACAUCCUUUAUUUGGAUAAAAGGCACCAGUUUGGUCAUAGGAAAACACGUUCCCUAUAUGUAUCUAGAGGGUUCAUGGUUUGUUUUUGUUUUUUUUUUAAUUAUUAUUAUUUAUUUAUUUUUGGCUGCAUUGGGUCUUCAUUGCUGUGCAUGGGCUUUCUCCAGUUGCAGCGAGCGGGGGCUACUCUUCGUUGCGGUGUGCGGGCUUCUCAUUGCGGUGGCUUCUCUUGUUGCGCCGCACGGGUCCUAGGUGUGUGGGCUCAGUAGUUGUGGCACGCGGGCUUCAGUAGUUGUGGCUCGCGGGCUCUAGAGUGCAGGCUCAGUAGUUGUGGCGCAGGGGCUUACUUGCUCUGCGGUAUGUGGGAUCUUCCGGGACCAGGGCUCGAACCCGUGUCCCUUGCAUUGGCAGGUGGAUUCUUAACCACUGCACCACCAGGGAAAUCCUUCAUGGGGUUUUCAGACUGAGCUGGGGCCCUUCCCCUCUAUGACACACAGCUGCAAGGCGAGGGUUGUUCCAGGAGUGCCCUGUGGCCUAUCCCAGGGCUGUGAGAAGGCCAAGGGGAUGCCCAAUUCACAGGAUGUAUGUGUGUGUCUACAUCAGACUCCUCAUCUUCAAAAGUGCUCAAAAGGUAUAUUCUCCAUAACAUUUUGUAGGUACUUAAUGCCCCUGAAUUGAAUAAUUUAAAAUGGUAAAUUUUAUCACAAGGUGGGGGUGAGGGGGAACUACACAAAGCCUGUCCAGAGGCGUGUCUCCAAGGCCUGGCAUUUUGUACUUAGCUUUAAUAGAACCCUCACAGCAUGCAUUGGGAAUACUGGUUUCCAUGGCAGUGUCCCUCUUUGAGAUCAAGGAUCAUUCCUUCACUCAUUCAAUUUAUAUUUGUUUGUUGAACACAUACGAUGUGGAAGACCCCAGCUCAGCACAGGUAAUCCAAUGAUGAAUGAAAUAUGGUCCCUGCUCUCAGAAAACUUAGUCUAAUGAGGCAGACAAAAACCAAGUAAACAGAAUAAUUACUAACUGUGCAAAAGAGUGUAGGAUAACAAACUGAGUGCCAAGCUAGAAAAUAAGAGAGCCCAUUUCAUGGAGACGUGCAGAAGACCUCCUGAAGAGAUGCUGAAACAUGAAGAACAAACGGGAGCCAGCAAAGCAAAGGUGAUGGGGACAAGUGCUCCAGGUGGAGGAUACCACACGGGCAAAGACCCAGAGCAGGGAAAGAUGGCACAAGCCUCAGGUGAAUGCAUGAGCGACUUAAUAGUGAAGACAAACAGUUUACUUCAACUCUCUAAAUCACCUGCUUUUGCCCCUAACAAACAUAUUCCAGGGCAAGCAGUGGAUGACCAGCUGUGGAAACAACUUGGGCACUCGACCAUUAACACUUUACAGUCUGAUAAGAAAGAAAAGACUUGCUGUUCACGCUGGUGGUUUGUUUACACAUGCUUGUCCUUCCUCAGAAGGGGCUACUCCAUUUCCUGAUGGUCAGUCUGUGUUGAGAGCCUGGUUUCCAGCUCAGGAAGGGCAGAGUCUCCAGGUGUGUGGUGACCACGGCAGUGUGGUACCCAGUUUACACCGAUAGGAACUGGAGUUGUUCAGCCUGGGUUCAAAUUCUGGCUGUUCUUUCUCAUCAGCUGUGUGACCUUGGGCAUCUCUCCAUACCUUCCCCCUCGUAUAAAAGUGGAAUGUUGUGAGGCUCCAAUGAAAUAAUAAACACUUAGAAUAGUACCUGAGAAGUACUCAACAGAUAUUAAUCAUUUAAUUAUUAUGUAAAAAAGGAACCAUGGAUCCCAUCACUUGGCUACUGCUUAGUUAGGCUGAAAUGAACAGUUCUACAAACUUUUAAGUGUGAGAAUGAGUAGACCGCUUGCAGAGCAUUCAAUAGAGCACGCAGACCUUUCAUCCAUGUCACUAUCAUAAUAGCUUGAAUAAUGGUUGAGUAACAAACAAGGAACCAAGUAGUCAGGGUUAGAGCAGAUGCUCCAUAACUUUUGGGGAAGAACAUAUGAAGCAUUUGCUAUUUCUAGGGAAAAGUUAUUUGUGGCAGGCCUGCUAGUUGCCUACCUGAAACUCAUUCUUCUCCUUUUCUUCAGUUAACAAACUUCUGGUUUUCUUUGGGGCAGUAACAUGCCCAGGUAAAAGACCUUCUCAUACUCCCUUGCAGCUAGGAGUGGCAAUUUGAAACAAGCCUGGCCAGUUAAAAGUAAGCAGAAGUUACUGGGUGGAACCUCUGGGAAAGCAUUUCAAAAGCAGCUGACUUGGAUGGAAUCUGCCUUUUGUUUUUCCUCCUUUUUCCUGCCUAGAAUGGGUAUG